rnacentral:rRNA from 1 species
UACGGAGGGUGCAAGCGUUAUCCGGAUUUACUGGGUUUAAAGGGUGAGUAGGUGGAUAAGAAAGUCAGUGGUGAAAUCUCCGGGCUUAACCCGGAAACUGCCAUUGAUACUAUUUAUCUUGAAUACUUUGGAGGUAAGCGGAAUAUGUCAUGUAGCGGUGAAAUGCUUAGAUAUGACAUAGAACACCAAUUGCGAAGGCAGCUUACUACACAGUUAUUGACACUGAGGCACGAAAGCGUGGGGAUCAAACAGG